GAAACAACCUGUUCUCUAUAUUUCUUGAUUAUUUCAACCAAUCAGAUUUGAGCAAAUAUACGCCGGUUGUUCCAGUGUUAUGAAAUUGAGAUUUUCAAGGAUCUAUCUAGACUGAGUAUAUACAUGGAGAUUGAGUUUUAGGGACUUCCAAAUUCACUUAAUAGCAACGUUUUACCAUGCUGAGCAAUAUUAGUAAUCAAAGUUAUGAUUUAAAUUGUGAGUGUAACUAUGGAAACGACUACAUUUGUGAGCAAAGUGAAUUGUUUAUUCCAUCUGCAUGGAUAACCAUCACACAACCCUGUUUGACAGUUGAAUGCGCAGUAGUCAACAUAUUUAUCAUCACAAUACUUUUACGUCCUAAAAAUAGAACGCCAUCAACUAUUCUGUUGUCAUCACUUGCCGCUUCAGACUGUUUGACAACAAUAUUAGCACCAAUACCAUAUCUUAUUGGAUACACAUUUAACUUUAACAACCUCAUAAUUGCCGAAAAUUCAAUUUUGGGCGGAUGGAUAUGGCCACAACUAUACUCCAAUUGUAUUAUAUUGACGCCACUUUCCCUGACCUCUUCAGGGUUUCAUAUGAUGUCAGUUUGUUUUACGUUUAUGUUAAACAUUCAAAAAGUAAUUGCUCUGCAAUUUCCACUCUGGACUAUGAAGUAUAUAGGAAAUAAGGCAACAUUCUUAGCGAUAUGUCCAUUCGUGCUUAUCGUCCUUGGCUUUAAUACAUGGCGUACAAUUACAGGAAAUGGAUAUUUUUUCGAAGGGAAGAACGGUGUUUGCUGUAUAGUUAAAUAUAAGAGCCAUAUAAAUGGUUCCUUAUUAUUUAUGAAUAUGUGUCUUAUGAUAAUAACGCUUGUGAUAAUAUUAUGCACGAUAUACAUUUGUUGGAAGCUAAGAACCCUUGGGAAAAACAUUCAGAUUCCGAACGUUAGAAAAAACAGUAAGAAGAUUCCGAACGUUGGUGAAAACAGUCUGACGACUCCUAACACGAGGGUAAACACUCCGAAGAUUCCGAAUGCAGAGAAAAACAGCCCGAAGACUCCGAGCGUUAGGGAAAACAGCCGGACGAUUCCUAACGCUAAGAGAAACAGUAUGAAGAUUCAGAACCCAAAGGCACAAGCAAAGAUUCGCCGGUCUGCUUUCAUAGUGAUAUUUAUAUCUGUGGUAUUUAUACUUUCGGAAGUGCUUAAUUACUUAUGGACAAUCAACCAAUCAGGAUUAUUGCCAUUCAGUCAUUCUCUAGACCAGCUAUGUGACUCUUUAAUGAUAUUAAGUUGGCAAUUCGGAUUUUCUGUAAAUUUCAUUGUCUAUUUUAUAAUGAGCGCGAAAUUAAGGAAAACACUGCAGGCAUUUCUUGUCAAAAUAUUUCGCUGUACUAAAAGAAAGAAAGAUGAAAACAUUUUUUCAAACACCAUAACAU
rnacentral:lncRNA from 1 species